rnacentral:rRNA from 1 species
AUAUUGGGACGUACCGAGUAAUGGGGGAUAACUAUCCGAAAGGAUAGCUAAUACCGCAUACGCUUUGAGAAGGAAAGCAGGGGAUCUUCGGACCUUGCGUUAUUCGAGCGGCCAAUAACUGAUUAGCUAGUUGGUGGGGUAAGGGCCCACCAAGGCGACGAUCAGUAGCGGGUCUGAGAGGAUGAUCCGCCACACUGGGACUGAGACACGGCCCAGACUCCUACGGGAGGCAGCAGUGGGGAAUUUUGGACAAUGGGCGAAAGCCUGAUCCAGCCAUGCCGCGUGUCUGAAGAAGGCCUUCGGGUUGUAAAGGACUUUUGUUAGGGAAGAAAAGGUUGAUGCUAAUAUCAUUAACUGAUGACGGUACCUAAAGAAUAAGCACCGGCUAACUACGUGCCAGCAGCCGCGGUAAUACGUAGGGUGCGAGCGUUAAUCGGAAUUACUGGGCGUAAAGCGAGCGCA